UACGUAGGGGGCAAGCGUUGUCCGGAUUCAUUGGGCGUAAAGAGCGUGUAGGCGGCCAGGUAGGUCCGGUGUGAAAACUCGAGGCUCAACCUCGAGAGGUCAUCGGAAACCAUCUGGCUAGAGUCCGGAAGAGGAGAGUGGAAUUCCCGGUGUAGCGGUGAAAUGCGCAGAUAUCGGGAAGAACACCUAUGGCGAAGGCAGCUCUCUGGGACGGUACUGACGCUGAGACGCGAAAGCGUGGGGAGCGAACAGG
rnacentral:rRNA from 1 species